rnacentral:misc_RNA from 1 species
GAUGAAGAACGCAGUGAAAUGCGAUAAGUAAUGUGAAUUGCAGAAUUCAGUGAAUCAUCGAAUCUUUGAACGCACAUUGCGCCCGCCAGUAUUCUGGCGGGCAUGCCUGUCUGAGCGUCAUUUCAACCCUCAUGCCCCUAGGGCGUGGUGUUGGGGAUCGGCCAAAGCCCGCGAGGGACGGCCGGCCCCUAAAUCUAGUGGCGGACCCGUCGUGGCCUCCUCUGCGAAGUAGUGAUAUUCCGCAUCGGAGAGCGACGAGCCCCUGCCGUUAAACCCCCAACUUUCCAAGGUUGACCUCAGAUCAGGUAGGAAUACCCGCUGAACUUAAGCAUAUCAAUAAGCGGAGA